rnacentral:rRNA from 1 species
GGUAGCCGGCCUGAGAGGGCGACCGGCCACACUGGGACUGAGACACGGCCCAGACUCCUACGGGAGGCAGCAGUGGGGAAUAUUGGGCAAUGGAGGRAACUCUGACCCAGCGACGCCGCGUGCGGGAUGAAGGCCUUCGGGUUGUAAACCGCUUUCAGNAGGGAAGAAGCGAAAGUGACGGUACYURCARAAGAAGCACCGGCUAACUAUGUGCCAGCAGCCGCGGUAAUACAUAGGGUGCAAGCGUUGUCCGGAAUUAUUGGGCGUAAAGAGCUCGUAGGUSGUUYGUYACGUCGGAUGUGAAAAYCUGRGGCUYAACCYCAGRCCUGCAUUCGAUACGGGCRARCUAGAGUKUGGUAGGGGA